GAGACAGGUGGUGCAUGGUUGUCGUCAGCUCGUGUCGUGAGAUGUUGGGUUAAGUCCCGCAACGAGCGCAACCCUUGUGCUUAGUUGCAAACAGGUCAAGCUGUGCACUCUAGACAGACUGCCGUGGACAACACGGAGGAAGGUGGGGAUGACGUCAAAUCAUCAUGCCCCUUAUGAUCUGGGCUACACACGUGCUACAAUGGCCGGUACAACGGGCAGCGAAGGAGCGAUCCGGAGCGAAUCCUAAAAAGCCGGUCCCAGUUCGGAUUGCAGGCUGAAACUCGCCUACAUGAAGUUGGAGUUGCUAGUAAUCGCGAAUCAGAAUGUCGCGGUGAAUGCGUUCCCGGGUCUU
rnacentral:rRNA from 1 species